GGUAGCACAGAGAGCUUGCUCUCGGGUGACGAGCGGCGGACGGGUGAGUAAUGUCUGGGAAACUGCCUGAUGGAGGGGGAUAACUACUGGAAACGGUAGCUAAUACCGCAUAACGUCGCAAGACCAAAGUGGGGGACCUUCGGGCCUCAUGCCMUCAGAUGUGCCCAGAUGGGAUUAGCUAGUAGGUGGGGUAAUGGCUCACCUAGGCGACGAUCCCUAGCUGGUCUGAGAGGAUGACCAGCCACACUGGAACUGAGACACGGUCCAGACUCYUACGGGAGGCAGCAGUGGGGAAUAUUGCACAAUGGGCGCAAGCCUGAUGCAGCCAUGSYGCGUKUAUGAAGAAGACCUUCGGGUUGUAAAGUACUUUUCAGCGASGAGGAAGGCAUUAAGGUUAAUAACCU
rnacentral:rRNA from 1 species